rnacentral:lncRNA from 1 species
UAAAUAGCAUGAUCUUUUGUGAAGGUUGGAUCUGUCCAACAAUAUGCUCUGGUCUUCGAAAACACCCUUCAACCUCAUGAAAUUAUUGGUUGGCAUUGAGUGCUACCACCAUUGCCUUUCGAAUAGAAGCUGGUUUUGCCUAAGCUACAUCUGCUGCUAAAGUCGUUGGAAGGGAAACAAUAUAACAUUGUGUGAGUACUUCCCAUUAUCUCGUACUGAUUUCGGAGCUAAGCUUUGUUGAAGGUUUGAAGAUCUUGCUUUUGCUUCUUGUAUUGCAAGUCACAAAGCUUGUUGAAUGGUGAUUCAAUCAUUAGUGUCAAGAUAAAUGUCUCUUCUAGCAUCUUCUUGAAUUGUGGCCAAGAGGGAAAGAUCUUUACUUGCUCCAGACAAUAGAACCAUUCCGAAGCAAGCUCCUUCAAGUACAUAGCAGUGAAUGGAACCUUCUUAUGGUUCUUCUUCUUCAUAAAGACAAAGUUCCUUUCCAAUUACCUGAUCCAUUCUUACAGCUUCAAUUGGUCAUUUGCCCCAUUGUAUUGAUCCACUAGAAAUUUCUCUUGAUGUUUGAGGACCCCAACCCAAGAUCCUUUUGCCUACCAUAAGAUCCGCCUGACACAUCUUGUCAAGGAGAUCCUCAUACCAGGGUGUCUACUCAAUUAUUGGUAGCAACCGAGAACUAGAAUUGACAAAACCUUCCUCCUCUGAAGAUGAUCUUUAUAGGUCCCCCUCCUUCAAGCCAUGCAGCCUGGAUUCCACUUGCUCAAGAAGCCUGAACUAUUUGUCACUGAUCUGUUGCAACACCAAUACUGUGGCACUCUAGUUUUGCUCCAAAGACUACAAGGUUUGUUGGAGUUGACCUUGCCAACUCACUAAUUGCUUAUGAUUCUUGAGAUAUUGCUUGAAGUGCUCCCUUCAACUCACUCACCAAUUCCCCGGUGAUAGCAUGUUGUGACGAUUCCUUCAAGUCUGGAACAACGUUGAUGCUUGAUUUGCCCCCCUCCUCUUGUUGAUCUUGUGAUUUCUUGAUCGCCCACGGCAUGGCACUUAUCUUUGGAUCCUUGCCAUACCACACCGCCAAAGACAAAAACUUGACUGCCCACAAAAAAACCCUACAACGGAGGACAGAUCCUAGAUCGCAAUGAAAC